GAGCAGUGAUGAAUACUUUGCGCCCCUGUGAUGGUUGGGUCCAUCAUCUUUCAUCUGCUCCAUCAGAUAAUAACCCGCGCAUCUGAGCUC